ensembl:snRNA U6 U6 spliceosomal RNA
GUGCUAGAUUCAGCAGCACAUACACUAAAAUUGCAAUGAUACAGAGAUUAGAGUGGACCCUGAGCAAGGAUGAGAUGCAAAUUCAUGAAGCAGUCCAUAUUUUU